rnacentral:tRNA from 2 species
GUCCUCUUAGUCUAGUGGUUAGGACUCCAGGUUUUCAUCCUGGCAGCAGGGGUUCGAGCCCCCUAGAGGAUG